GCUGGGAAAGUGGGCGGCGGCGGCGGCGGCGGCGUGGAGCGCGCGAGGGGGCGGCAGAGAGGAGGCUCCGGGAGCAGCCGCCGCGUCAGAGACACCGCGAGCCCGGCGCGGUGGGGCCGCAUCUGCAUCAGCCGCCGCUGCCGCCGCCGCGGGGCCGCGAACAAAGAGGAGGAGCGGGAGCGCGAGAGCAAAGUCUGAAAUGGAUGUUACAUGAGUCAUCUUAAGGGACGCACCCAGCUAUGAGCAUUUCUGAAGCUUUUUUUCUCAGUAAAGUAGAUAACGAUGGAUGAAUCUGCCUUGUUGGAUCUUCUGGAGUGUCCUGUGUGUCUGGAGCGCCUUGAUGCAUCUGCAAAGGUCUUGCCUUGCCAGCAUACAUUUUGCAAACGAUGUUUGCUGGGCAUUGUAGGUUCUCGGAAUGAACUCAGAUGUCCUGAGUGCAGGACUCUGGUUGGUUCGGGUGUAGAGGAGCUUCCCAGUAACAUCCUGCUGGUCAGACUUCUGGAUGGCAUCAAGCAAAGGCCUUGGAAACCCGGCCCUGGAGGGGGCAGUGGGAUCAACUGCACAAAUGCAUUAAGGGCUCAGAGCAGCACUGUGGCUAAUUGUAGCUCAAAAGAUCUGCAGAGCUCCCAGGGUGGACAGCAGCCUCGGGUGCAAGCCUGGAGCCCCCCAGUGAGGGUUGAUGUUUUCUAAAUCAGCUCAUUGCUUAAGAAGCCACUUUUACGGUGCCUGUAGUCCUAGCUACUGGGGAGGCUAAAGCAAGAGAAUUGCUUAAGCCCAAGAGUUUGAGGUUGCUGUGCACUGUGAAGCCACACAAGGAUGUCAUAGUGAGACUGUCUCAAGAAAAAAAAAAAGAAAAAAAAGAAGCCACAUUUAUUAAAGCAGAAGAUUAUACCUCAGGAUCUUUUUUCUUCUUCUUGGAAUGAGAUUGGAUAUAAAUAGUGACUUUUCUUGUUUUGAAAAUUCAGAUAGUCUCUCUUUUAAGAUAAAUUUUGGGAAAUAAAUAGCAGUCGUUUAUUCAAUGAGAUCUCAAACAUGGCAGUUGUUUUGUGUCCAUUUUAAUGUAGAAAUUUGGUAUGGUUUUACCCUUCUGAUGGAGUUGAGAAUAAUUACAUAUUUGUUUGUAAUACAUAUGUGCAUAUAUGUUGUUAAUAUGAAUGUGAGUAAAUCAUAAGUAGGAAAUCAAGACUUAAUUUUUAUGUUGCUUAGCAUUGUUCUAUUGACUUUAUGAAUACACCGCACAGAAUUUACUCACUGGACAAAUUCUUAACAAAUUAUGGCCUUAGG